GACGAACGCUGGCGGCGUGCUUAACACAUGCCAGUCGAACGGAAAGGCCCUGCUUUUGUGGGGUGCUCGAGUGGCGAACGGGUGAGUAACACGUGAGUAACCUGCCCUUGACUUUGGGAUAACUUCAGGAAACUGGGGCUAAUACCGGAUAGGAGCUCCUGCUGCAUGGUGGGGGUUGGAAAGUUUCGGCGGUUGGGGAUGGACUCGCGGCUUAUCAGCUUGUUGGUGGGGUAGUGGAUUACCAAGGCUUUGACGGGUAGCCGGCCUGAGAGGGUGACCGGCCACAUUGGGGCUGAGCUACGGCCCAGACUCCUACGGGAGGGAGGAGUGGGGAAUAUUGCACAAUGGGCGGAAGCCUGAUGCAGCAACGCCUCGUGCGGGAGGACGGCCUUCGGGUUGUAAACCGCUUUCGCCUGUGACGAAGCGUGAGUGACGGUAAUGGGUAAAGAAGCACCGGCUAACUACGU
rnacentral:rRNA from 1 species